rnacentral:rRNA from 1 species
CAGGCGACGACCGGCGGACGGGUGAGUACACGUAUGCAAUUUGCCUUUAACUGGAGGAUAGCGUUCGGGAAACCGUAAUUAAUACUCCAUAGUAUNCAAAAGACGCAUGUNUUUUGAAUUAAAGCUCCGGCGGCUAAAGAUAAGCAUGCGGGACAUUAGCUAGUUGGUAAGGUAACGGCUUACCAAGGCGACGAUGUCUAGGGGGUUUGAGAGGAUGAUCCCCCACACUGGUACUGAGACACGGACCAGACUCCUACGGGAGGCAGCAGUGAGGAAUAUUGGGCAAUGGGCGCAAGCCUGACCCAGCCAUGCCGCGUGCAGGAUGAAGGUCCUAUGGAUCGUAAACUGCUUUUGUAUGGGAAGAACUUCCCGCAUUCGUGCGGGAUUGACGGUACUAUACGAAUAAGGACCGGCUAACUCCGUGCCAGCAGCCGCGGUAAUACGGAGGGUCCAAGCGUUAUCCGGAUUCACUGGGUUUAAAGGGUGCGUAGGUGGAACGAUAAGUCGAUGGUGAAAGCCUACAGCUUAACUGUAGAAUUGCCAUUGAUACUGUUGUACUUGAGUAUAGUCGGAGGAAGUGGAAUGCGUACUGUAGCGGUGAA